CAAAAAUGAAGCUUUAAGCGAUUUAUUUACAUUAAAUAGUACUUUGGUUCAACAGAGCAUUUUGA
rnacentral:tRNA from 1 species